rnacentral:tRNA from 1 species
GAGGGUGUAGCUCAGUGGCAGAGCAUGCUCUUAGCAGGCACAAGGUCCUGGGUUCAAUUCCUAGUACUUCUA